rnacentral:rRNA from 1 species
UACAUAGGAGGCAAGCGUUGUCCGGAAUCACUGGGCGUAAAGGGCGCGUAGGCGGCCUGCUCAGUCGAGGGUGAAAUCCUGCGGCUCAACCGCAGGGCUGCCUUCUAAACUGUCAGGCUGGAGCACGGUAGAGGCAGAUGGAAUUCCCGGUGUAGCGGUGGAAUGCGUAGAGAUCGGGAAGAACACCAGUGGCGAAGGCGGUCUGCUGGGCCGUUGCUGACGCUGAGGCGCGACAGCGUGGGGAGCAAACAGG